rnacentral:tRNA from 1 species
GCGAAAGUGGCGGAACUGGUAGACGCGCUGGGUUCAGGACCCAGUGGAGGCAACUCUGUGGGGGUUCGACUCCCCCCUUUCGCACCA